GCCUGGGUCGGGGAAGAAGAGAAGGAGGUGGGAGAGCGGGAGCAGAUGGAAAGAAGUGCAGCUUUCUUUUUAGUUCCGUUUAAGUUCGGUGGAAGCUGUAAUGACCAAAAAAAAAAAAAAAAAGUAAAAUUUAUUAUUGACUGCUGUGAAUGGUGCGAGUCGGGCGGGGGUGAACCAGAAUAAGUAGCAUACCAGAAGGGUACGAGCCAUGUGCAGUUCCUCGUUAGUAUAGUGGUUAUAUAUCUGGUGUGGCAAAGACCAUUAGCUGUUCCACAACAUCUGUAUUUCUUUAUCCUUAGUAGUAAAACUCUCCAUGUUUAGCAGGACACAUGGCCUCCCAGAAGACUACAUUUCCCAGCCUUUUUGCAGUUCUGGCCAAGGUGUGCCUGAUUGCAAGAUUCAGCCAUACAGGUUGUUUUAUUCUGACUCAGAGAUUCCAGCUCUACUCAUAUUUUUCCUGUUGGUAUCUCAGCAUUUCUCAAGCGGAGUCACACACUUCCAGUAGCAUCGCUGAGCCGUGAACAUGACACACCACCAUGCCUGACACACCAGCCCUGAGACAGGAGGAAGGAGGAUACCAAUCUGUGACUACCAGGAAGUGGGGAUCACUGGGGGCCUUCUUGGGAACUAGUUACUCCAUGAGUUCCAGGUGUACAGCAUAGUGUCAGAAGCCCUCCAUUUUUGAAGAGAC